rnacentral:lncRNA from 1 species
AUGGACGAACUUUUCCUCCUGUCCCAAAGAAACAAGGACUUCUUAAACUCUGCUGCUCUGUGCUUCACGGAAACCUGGCUGAAUGAAGCCAUCCCGGACAGCGCGCUACAUCUGCCGGGCUUCCAGCUGUUCAGAGCGGAUCGCGACGCGGAAUCAGCGGGGAAAUCACGGGGCGGUGGGACAUGCUUCUACAUCAACGAAAGAAAGGUGGUGUACAGAUGUGACAGCGUUGAAGAAGAUGUGCUGUCCCGACCUAGAAGCGCUCUUCAUCAUUCCACCGCAAGCGUCCUCCUCCUCCUGUCCAAAUUAACCCAACUCUCUGUGCCCACCUCCAUCUAUCGGUGGAUCACCAACUUUCUGACAGACAGACAGCAGAUAGUGAGGCUGGGAAAAUUCUCAUCCAAAACUCGCACAAUCAGUACUGGAGCCCCCCAGGGAUGUGUGCUCUCCCCACUGCUCUUCUCCCUGUACACCAACGACUGCACCGCAAAAGACCCCUCUGUCAAACUCCUGAAGUUCGCAGACGACACCACACUCAUCGGCCUCAUCCGGGAUGGUGACGAGUCUGCUUACAGACAGGAGGUCCAAGAGCUGGCUGUCUGGUGCAGUCAUAACAACCUGGAGCUGAACACGCUCAAAACGGUGGAGAUGAUCGUAGACUUCAGGAGAAACACCUCAGCAUUAUCCCCACUCACCAUCAUGAACAGCACUGUGGCAACAGUGGAGUCAUUCAGGUUCCUGGGCACCACCAUCUCACAGGACCUGAAGUGGGAGCCCCACAUAGACUCCAUGAUUGUAAAGAAGGCCCAGCAGAGGUUGUACUUCCUUCGCCAGCUGAGGAAGUUCAACCUGCCACAGGAGCUACUGCUGCAAUUCUACUCCUCGGUCAUCCAGUCUGUCCUCUGCACCUCUAUAACUGUCUGGUUCGGCUCAGCUACGAAGUCAGACAUCAGAAGACUACAGCGGAUAGUUCGGACUGCUGGAAGAAUCAUCGGCACACCCCCCCCCCAGCUCUCCAAGAACUGCACUCGUCCAGAGUCAGUAAAAGGGCUAGCAAAAUCAUUCUAG